UGAGGAAUAUUGGACAAUGGAUGGAAAUCUGAUCCAGCCAUGCCGCGUGCAGGAAGACGGCCCUAUGGGUUGUAAGCUGCUUUUGUAUGGGAGCAAUAAGGACUACGUGUAGUUUGAUGAGAGUACCAUACGAAUAAGCAUCGGCUAACUCCGUGCCAGCAGCCGCGGUAAUACGGAGGAUGCGAGCGUUAUCCGGAUUUAUUGGGUUUAAAGGGUGCGUAGGCGGCGAUAUAAGUCAGUGGUGAAAUAUUUCGGCUUAACCGAGAGACUGCCAUUGAUACUGUGUUGCUAGAAUAUGGUUGCUGUGAGUGGAAUGUGUGGUGUAGCGGUGAAAUGCUUAGAUAUCACACAGAAUAUCGAUUGCGAAGGCAGCUCACAAAGCCAUUAUUGACGCUGAGGCACGAAAGUGUGGGGAUCAAACA
rnacentral:rRNA from 1 species